CUGUUGCGGCAGAGUGGCAGUUCUGUGCCGCCUCGCUUUCGUGCUGAGGUCUUCUGCCGCUCAAUGUCCGACUUUCGGGUUUUCUUGCCUUUUUUCUCUCAGAGUUGAGCCCCUACCCGGGCCCUUUAGUCCCUCGGUCACGAGGAACGGUGGAGUUUAGAACCUGUGAGUACGUUAGAUAGUUCGCAGUCGAGUAAGAACAGAGUUCGGGCAAGGGCGGCUGGUCCGGGACCAAGGGAAAACACGUUGGCAUGGUGAUAAGGCGAUGGAACUUACCAGAGACUAGAUAGCUAGAGAAUGGCUGAACUGGGUUUUGAAUCUAGUCAAUCUUGACCCCAGAGCUCUCCAGCCUAAAGGUUAAGAAACAAUAUUAUUAGAAAAUAAACAAACUGAAGACUGACGGGACAACAUACAGUGCCAAGAUGCUUCAAAAAGAGUUGCUUGCUACUGUUUUCUGAUGUUUCCCCUUGUCCUAUUAAUAAAAUGAAUAAAUAAAUAACAGUUUUGAAAAACCCAGCUGGCCCGGUUGCAGAGUCCUGUUCCUUAACAGGCCCUACAGGGAGUUUGUGACAGUAUGUAUAGGAGAUUAAUAUCAUGCCUGACAUGUUGGAGUAGAAGGCUUGGUAUCUCUUUUUAGAAUUCUGACUUACUAUUGUGGUUUCUUUAUAAUAAA